UUGUGGUCUGCCUUGCAGCACUCUUUGCCAGCCCUGCUUUGGAGGUGGUGAAAAGCAGUGCCAUUUUUGGGCUGGUUUUUGGAUUGGUUCUGCACAAAACCUUCACAAACACCUGCCCAGCUGAAGAACCAGUCAAGAAAAGUCUGCCCGCCGCCCUUCCCACACCGUGGCAUUUCAGAGAAAGUUGAGGUGUUGUUUCCCUGGCACAAAAGCCAUCUGUGCAGCGGAUCACAAAGGAUGAGACAGCUUUACACCUCCGGCAAUGCUCCUGUCGGUACUGUCACUGCAGUGCGCUCUUGCUUUCCUGGCUGGUCUCACCCAGGGCAAAUUUCUCUUCACUUUGGUGGCAGAUAGACAGGGGCUUGUUUCAAAGGGGGAAAAACAGCAAUGACGUAGGAAAAAAUGGGUAGAAAAAAAAAUAUUUAAUAUCUACAAAUUUUUCAAUCUUUCUAUCUGUCUAUCUAUACAAGCCUUGGCUCUCAGGGUAACAUAGAAGCGUUUUUUCAAGCAAAAUCAACAGGAUCAGCAAAGUGGUGGUUGCAUGCGGCGUGGAUGGGUUAUGGCAGAAAAAAAGAGGACCUGGAUUAAAUCUUUUGGGAAAGUGUGGGUUUGAGCUCGGAACUGAGAGUCACGGACGUGCGCAGGCACGCUGGUGUGUGAAAAUACACCCAAGGUAUUCCCCGGGAGCUUGAUAAUUGUUUAUUGUUCUCGGCUCUGAUCUCAAGCAACAAGAUCGGUGCAGAUAAGGAAGGGCUGGCUUCCAAGGAAGCUGAGUGAGGAGCAGAAAUAAGAGCACGUUUCAAGAACUCAUUGACGUACUCAUUGAAGAGCUCUUGGAGCACCGAAGGGUUGGCGCGCUGCUUGUCUAGAGGGCUUGUGGUGAGAAGCUGGGCCUGGAGGCUGCUGUAGGGCUGCAGAGAAGGCUCCCGGCAUGACAGGCCAGGACUGGAUGCAGACAGCCCGGGGUGAAGGAGAAGAUGUCUUGGGGGAGGGAAAGAAAUGUGAGCCCUAUGACUGGGGAUGACUGGAGGGUGAAAUAGCUUGCAUGGGAAUAGACCUAGGUAACAGGAGGCAUGUUUCUGGGGUAGG
rnacentral:lncRNA from 1 species